CUUCCCCACAGCCGCCCCUGUGAUGGAACAUUUGAGGGUACAUCUGCCCAGGCCUCUCUGUUGCUGAACGGCCUGGAAUGGCUCCCUAUUGCCCUUGGGAGCCGGCUCAGGUGUCUCUCCCUCCAGGAAGUGGGGCUUGUGCCCUUUGGAUACCUGCACUCCCCAUCACCGCACUCCCCAUCGUGGCACUUCCCUUGUUGCAGUUUUAUGGAGUGUGCGUCUGGCUCUCCAACUAGACUUGAACCGCUUGAGUGCAUAACUCGGGACUUGACCAUUUGCGUCUCCCUACGGCCAGCUCAGCCUCCGCACACAGGGACCUGCAGAGAGUGGAUGUAGCCACUGCCCCAGCGUCCCUGGGCUCUGAAGAGAAGCCAUUGCCCUUCAAGAGCCACCCUCAUUUCCUGGGCACUGGUUGGAAAAAACGAAGAAAAAGAGACACCCAGCUCACCUCCAAGUUUGCCUGCAGACAGACUUCCUGCUCCAUGUUUCUGCCUUGUAUUUGUCCUGGAGAGCUCGCUCAGUCUGGAUCCUGCUGGAUUUGUCCCCGGGGUGGUGUGUGACUGCAUCUGUGCUCCCUGUAUGUCCUGUAGAUUGGCAUUUGGUGGAGAGGCUUGAUCAGAUUCAGCUGAUGGUUCCAGAAGAGGGACUCAUGGAGCUGACCCGAAUCUGAUCCGUGGCCUGCAGCGAAAUCGAGCUGACCCACAGAAUGACCCACCCCCGCUGACCCACAGGCCUAUGAGAGAUGGAAAUAAACAUGGCAAGCUACU
rnacentral:lncRNA from 1 species